rnacentral:rRNA from 1 species
AAAGGAAUUGACGGGUCCCCGCACAAGCAGCGGAGCGUGUGGUUUAAUUCGUUGCUACACGAAGAACCUUACCUGGGUUUGACAUAGCAGUGGUAGGGAAGCGAAAGCGGACCGACCCUUCGGGGAGCUGUUACAGGUGUUGCAUGGCUGUCGUCAGCUCGUGUCGUGAGAUGUUCGGUUAAGUCCGCUAACGAGCGCAACCCGCGUUGUGUGUUACAAGUGUCACACAAUACCGCCGGUAUUAAGUCGGAGGAAGGUGCGGAUGACGUCAAGUCAGCAUGACCUUUAUAUCCAGGGCUACACACACGCUACAAUGGUCAGCACAAUAGGUUGCCAAGUCGUGAGACGGAGCCAAUCCUCCAAAGCUGGCCUCAGUUCAGAUUGCAGGCUGCAACUCGCCUGCAUGAAGUCGGAGUUGCUAGUAACCGCAGGUCAGCUAUACUGCGGUGAAUACGUUCCCGGGGAUUGUACACACCGCCCGU